CAUAGAGUGGCGACCGGGUGAGUAACACGUGACUAACCUACCUCCGAGUGGGGAAUAACUCCGGGAAACCGGGGCUAAUACCGCAUAACAUCGCGAGAUCAAAGCAGCAAUGCGCUUGGAGAGGGGGUCGCGGCUGAUUAGCUAGUUGGCGGGGUAACGGCCCACCAAGGCGAAGAUCGGUAGCCGGCCUGAGAGGGCGCACGGCCACACUGGAACUGAAACACGGUCCAG
rnacentral:rRNA from 1 species